rnacentral:sRNA from 1 species
UACACCGUUAGGUGAGGUUACUCCACGGAUAUGGCUGUUGCCCGGAAAUGUCGAGAGACGCCAACGGGUCAGCUGGCACUACCGAGUUAAGGUUUUGUCUAACACAGCUGAUAGUGUUUUCUAUCUAUGCCCUGGAGAGCCAAAACUCGGCGAACA